rnacentral:rRNA from 1 species
AUUGAACGCUGGCGGCAGGCCUAACACAUGCAAGUCGAGCGAGCGGCGGACGGGUGAGUAAUGUAUGGGGACUGCCCGAUCGAGGGGGAUAACUACUGGAAACGGUAGCUAAUACCGCAUACUAUCGGAUAACCCAUAUGGGAUUAGCUAGUAGGUGAGGUAAUGGCUCACCUAGGCGACGCUCCCUAGCUGGUCUGAGAGGAUGAUCAGCAACACUGGGACUGAGACACGGCCCUGACUCCUGCGGAUGCAGCAGGGGGGAGUGUGGCACAAUGGUCGCAAGCCUGAUGCAGCCAUGCCGCGUGUAGGAAGAGGGCCCUAGGGUUGUAAAGUACUUUCAGACGGGAGGCGUUACCGACAGAAGAAGCACCGGCUAACUCCGUGCCAGCAGCCGCGGUAAUAC